AUGUCCGCGCUGCGGGAGUCGGUGUCGUUCGGUCGAUUCCUAUCCGAGUCACUCGAGUGGGAUACGAUGAGGCAUGCCUUGCCGGCACCGACGGCUACCAUAUUGCAUGACCAAUCGCUGCCGGCAGCUGGCCUCAAUCAAGAUGUACAUGUCAAUUUCUUGGUGCCGACCACAAUGGUCGGAGCUCAAUCUGCCUCCUCCAAUUGUGGUGUUGCAUGCAUUGGCGAAUCUGGAGCAGGCGUGAGUUGUAGUCCAUGCUUGCCUGCUGCCCGGUCCUCAACUAAUGUUGAACGAGCUGCAUUGCAUUUGUCGAUGAUGGAGCCAAUGGAGAGCAUUGGUCAGAGCGUAGGAUCUACUACUCCAGUUUUGCUUGAAGAUGAUGCCAAUACCAAUUUCAAGGAUGGAAAUGAAUUGGCUUCAUGCAGUGGAGAUAGUUACACUACACCAAGGAAAACAAGAAGCAUGCCGAUCCGCGGUUCAACAUAUGAGCCAGAGUGUGAUGAAAGCUUGCAGCCCACAAUUGGCAUGGUCUUUGAUAAAUGGGAGCAUGGUGAGAUUUUCUACAAACAUUAUGCUCAUGAGGCUGGUUUUUCGGUUCGGAUAUUUACACAGCAUAAAGGGGAUGGUGGUGUACCAGUGUGGAAGCGAUUUGUUUGUGCAAGGCAAGGAUGGAGGAAGGAGAAAUGUGUACCGAAUGAUCAUGUCAAGAAGUCCAAUAGGAAAGUGAAGAUAACUAGGUGUGGUUGUGAGGCUAUGAUUGGCUUAAAGAGAAGAGGUGAUGGCAAGUAUGUAGUCGCCCGAUUCGUGCUUCAACACACACAUCAGCUUGUCUCGCCGAGUAAGAAACAGUUCCUGCGAUCUAAUAGAGAAGUCAGUAGUGAAUUGAGGAGCACAUUUUUCACUUGUCGCAAAGCAUUGAUGGGCCCUUGCCAAACAUAUCGCUUAUUGAGUGCACAAAAGGGCGGGCAGGCAAAUAUUGGAUGCACGAAGCGUGAUUUACAGAAUUAUGGUCGUGAUAUCGCUGAGAUAAUUAAAGAUGCAGAUGCACAAACAAUCAUUCAUGCUAUGAAGAGUAAGCAAAGUAUCAAUCCAACUUUCUUCUUUGAUUAUGAACGAGAUGAAGAGGACAAGUUAACCCACAUUUUUUGGGCUGAUGGUACAUGCAGAAAGAACUAUGCACUAUUUGGUGAGGUGAUGUCCUUUGAUUCCACAUAUAGUACUAAUCAAUACAACCUAGUUUUUUCCCCUUUCACUGGUGUGAACCAUCACAAGGCAUGUGUUACAUUUGGUGCUGCAUUUGUAUGCCAUGAAAAGGUUUGGUCGUACAAAUGGUUAUUCAAGACCUUUCUAAAGGCAAUGGGAGGUGUUGCACCUAAACUUAUCAUUACGGAUGAGGACCAAAGCAUGAAAGCUGCAAUCAAAGAAGUAUUCCCUCAAACUGUACAUAGACUUUGCAUGUGGCAUAUUCUCUACAAAGUACAACAGUAUGUCGGUCAUGAUUUAUUCAAUGAUGAAGAUUUCCGUAAGCAAUUUAGUGCAUAUGAUUUUUUACAUGGUCUUAUAGGUCAAGAAGCUUUAAAAUAG
rnacentral:rRNA from 1 species